rnacentral:rRNA from 1 species
AUUGAACGCUGGCGGCAGGCCUAACACAUGCAAGUCGGACGAGCGGCGGACGGGUGAGUAAUGUCUGGGGAACUGCCUGAUGGAGGGGGAUAACUACUGGAAACGGUAGCUAAUACCGCAUACCAUCGGAUGUACCCAGAUGGGAUUAGCUAGUAGGUGAGGUAACGGCUCACCUAGGCGACGAUCCCUAGCUGGUCUGAGAGGAUGAGCAGCCACACUGGGACUGAGACACGGUCCAGACUCCUACGGGAGGCAGCAGUGGGGAAUAUUGCACAAUGGGCGCAAGCCUGAUGCAGCCAUGCCGCGUGUAUGAAGAAGGCCUUCGGGUUGUAAAGUACUUUCAGUGAGGAGGCGUUACCGACAGAAGAAGCACCGGCUAACUCCGUGCCAGCAGCCGCGGUAAUAC